rnacentral:lncRNA from 1 species
AGGAAUGUUAGAAUAUAUUAGAAAAACUAGAGAAAAUCAAGAUAAUCUAAAUAAAGAAAUUAAUUAUAGAAACCGAAUUAGAAAAAUAAUAGAAAAUCUAAAAGAAAAAUUAAUAUGGAUAGAAGAAACCUUAGAAAAUUUAGAAAAAAGUACAUGUGAUAGUUUAUAUAAUUUAAAAAACUCACUACGAGAAGAACAACACAAG